CAAAGUUCCAUUCUUCCUGGGUUCCGCUUGACUCUGCAUUCUCCUACUUCCCUGCCUGCUUACUCUCUGCCAUCAUAGUUUUUUGCUUCAACCUUCAAAUGUAGCCAUUCUUUUUCUAAAGCGGUACUUAUUCUCUUUAUUAGUUAAAAUUAUUAAUUUUAUGCACUUACUGUUCUAGCUCCAAUUUUGCAUUUCCAGUUCCCUGCUGGGAAUAAAUUAAAUUGGCAGAAGCUCAGUCUAAGUGCCUGCAACAGAAUUUGUCCCAUAUCCAUACAACUUGCUCCUCCACAACAAAUGGGAGAAUCAUCCUCUUACCUCCAGGACAAGUCCCUUCCUGAAAAGCUCUUCAUUGUCUCUUGAAAACGGUCUGUGAAAGUGCCAAACCACCAGCUCUCCAGAUGUGGCUGAAUAUCAAGGCAUCCUCACAUGGUGGAAGGGACAGAAGGCAAAAAAGGGAGGAACACUGUGUCCUCACAUGGCAGAAGAGCAGAAGAGAAUGAACUCAUUCCCUCAAGCCCUGCUAGAAGGGCACUACUCUCAUCCACUAGGACUCCAACCUCACAGCUUCAUCACCUCUUAAAAGCCCCACCUCUUCAUACUAUCAGUUGAUUAUUAAAUUCCAACAUCUGAAUGUUGGAGGACACAUCCAGACCGUAGCAUCCCUCAAAAAAAGAAUAAAGAUGUUCCAUAGCACCCAUCAUUUAUUGAAAUGAUUUUCGAACACAAAUACAGCAUUGAGAGCAAGCUUUUAAAAUAAAUUGAGGGGCUUCUGGGUCAAGAUCACUAAUGGAACACACAUGUUCAUUUUAUAUUCUUCUCUGGACACUAUUAAAAUGAGAGUAAAGGAAUGUUAAACCAUAAACCCACAAAAAUAAGAGACCUGGCAAAGAGAAAAAUCAGUGUGAAAAAGCACAUUGCAAAUUUCUGGAAGAUGAAAAGGAGAUAGAGGUAGACAGCCAGAUGAAGAUGAGCUGCCAAGAAG
rnacentral:lncRNA from 1 species